GGCCUUCUUGCGCCGGAAGUCUCGCUUCGUGGACACAAGGGUUCUGGGCCCCAGGGAGCACUGGACCGAGGCAUCCUGCUUGGGGUUGACCUGGACGGCCACGUCCUUGGUGUUUGCCUUUCGGAGCCUCGGCGUGAGUUUGGGGUUGAUUUGAGACAAGAUGGACUUGAGCUGGGCCCGCUGCUGGUUGUUGAACGCCUCCGAAGCCUCGCCAUAGUGGGACAGGCGUAGGGUCUGGCGGGCAGGGGUCCAGCCUGAUGGUGUUUGGGUCGCUCACCGUCACCGCCCCGUACGAAGCGUCAAAAUCAACGUCUUCGUCCUGGAAGCGCUGGUACGUGAUGUCCGUAUCCUCACCGUCCCGCCGGGCCGGCGGCUCCUCCUUGCCCAGCACCUGCUUGCGGUACGUCCGGUACACCAGGAUGAAGACGCCCGCCUCGGCCGCCUGGAAGAGCGCGUAGAGUAGCGGGAACAUGUACAUGCCGCCCAUCAGCUGCGGCGGGAAGGCCAGCUUGAGGAUGGCGGUGCAUAGCUGCACGUUCUGGCAGCCCGUCUCCAGCGAGACGGCGCGACGGCAGUUGGGCGGCAGAUGGAACAACACGGCCAGGCCGUAGCCCGCCGCGUAGCCGCACAUGGGCAUCAACAGGGCCACGACGUACACGGAGGGCGGGAUGGCCGACAGCAGCUCGGGGCCCAGCAUGGCCGCCGUCAGGAUGAAGAGCAGCACCAGGGUGAUGAGUAGAGACCACAGCGACGCCUGAACACACACCAGACGGACGGGCAGCCUGUGUUAUCACGCGCUGACAUCGCGCACAGGAAAUAAAAGCGGCCCCGUCUCGUCAGGAGAGGACGGGAAGAUGACGAAGAGGAGGGUGACUCAACUCAAGACUGUCGUCAGACUCCAAAAACAGCCAAUAAGCUAAUGGGCCACUCAAGGCUUUGGGUCUGGAGGCACUCAUCCUUGUGGUACUGCUGCGGCUCAGAUCGACCGGCUUCUGGACUCUCCGGCAACACCUCCUGCGAGUCUACAAGCAAAUACAGACAGGUCUGAGCUGCCGGCUUCUCGUGCCUUAAAGGAGAAUCUUUCACAAUUAAGGGAGGAAGCGAAAGGUUUCUCACUUU